GUCACUUAGACAGAGAAAGACAAAUACCAUAUGAAAUCACUUGUAUGCAGAAUCUAAAAGAGAAAUGUAUACAAAUGAACUUGUUUGCAAAAGAGAAACAGACUCACAGACGUAGAGAACAAACUUUUGGUUACCAAAGGGGGAAGGGGAGAAUGAAAAGAAAAGAAAAAGAGGGCAUCUUAUUCCAAGUGAGCUGAUGAGCCAUGAGGAGAAUCUGGACAGAAGAUGUGUGGGAAGCUUAUUCCGUGAGCCUCAGGGAGAAACCAUGGGGGCCAGACCCAUUCCCUUCCUGUGCAUGUGACCAGGAAGCAUUUUCACCAGGAGUCGUUCUGCCUGAAACAUCUCCAAGGGCCCCUCUGCCUGUGGACUUCAUCAGCUAACCCAGUUAAGGUGAAGUCCUACAAGACAACGGAGCUCGUGGAUUGGUGCUCACUCCCCAUCCUGUGUCACACCACCUCCCUGCGUUCCCGGGACAGUUCUCAACCUCCCACUCCUGGCCGCUCACACCGAGGGCCUCUGCUCUCCAUCUCCUGUGACUCUGCACCCCUGUACCCAGUGGGGAGAUCCUGGGCACGAGUGCAGGGGGGAUGGGCAUGCCAUGUGUAUCAGGGCAAAGCAGUGGCCAUCCCAGCACCAGGCUGGCAGCACCUGGACACAUUCAGAGAGCAACUUGGCAGCUGUGUGAGCCUCUUGCCCUUCCCUGUCCAGGUACUUAGUGCGUCAUGGCACAGAAGUAACCAUAUUCUAGUUAUGCAGGCGGUUGACCUGUGGCUGGGUUGGGUCUGAGGCCUCAAGGGAAGGGGACCUGCCUGGCUUGAGAUCCAGGGGUGCUGGCCACUGGUUGGCAGGAGUAUAACCUGGCUGCUCUUUGCCUUGUCAUCUGUAUGGUCUGACUCCCUCUGUGUGUAUCCCUGUGCCCAAGAGACUGUGACAGUAAGCAGGAAAUAAAGACCACAAGUUAAGAGAGACACCAUGGAAGAAAGGAAAGAGUUCUCCCUGCAUGUUGAACCGGGGACCUGCCUUUUCAUUUUUCAGUGAGCCCUGUAAAUUAUGUGCCAAGCCUGCCUGCUCUGACUUUAUCCUUAUGUCAGGCAGUGAUUCCAGCACUCUGAUCAUCCAAGCCAGAAUUCUGGGAAUCAUCACUGACUUUUCCCCUUUUCCUGUCCCCCUAGGUAUUUCUAGUGUCUUCAUUUCCAAAUGCCACUGACUUAGUUCAGAUAAGUAAAAGAAAUUUGGAAUGAUCCUGGUUUUGAUUAAGCCACCUGUGAUACUUAUCCCCCAUCAGAUAGGGAAGAAGGAAGGACUUCCCUGCCUGUCCAGUGGUUAAAACUCCAAACUUUCAAUGCAAGGGGCAAGGGUUCGAUUCCUGGUCAGAGAACUAAGAUCUCAUACGCCAGUGGCACAGCCAAAGGGGGGAGAAAUAGAUAAAGGAUAGGGAAGAAAGAGGAAAAGAAACAAGAGCUCAUCCUUCAUCCUUUCUGUUGUCUGUGUUUGUGGGAAUGACAUCAGUUGGGAAAUAGUAAAAGGCAAUAUCUGGGCUUCCCUGGUGGCUCAGUGUUAAAGAAUUUGCCUGCCAGUGGAGGAGACGUGGGUUCAAUCCCUGGUCCGGGAAAAUCCCACAUUCUGUGAAGCAACUAAGCCCAUGUGCCACAACUACUGAGCCUGUGCUCUGGAGCCCAGGAACAGCAACUACUGAAGUCCAUGAGGCCUGGAGCCCCUGUGCCAUAGCAAGAGAAGCCCCUAACAUGAGAAGCCUGAACACCACAGCUAAACAGUAGCCCCCGCAGCUAAAGAGUAGCCUUCACUGCAAUUAGAGAAAGCCCUCGUGUAGCAACGAAGAGCCAGCACAGCCAAAACAAAUAAAUAAAGUUAUUUUAAAACAUUUUUUAAAGAGGUAUGGUCUAAAAACACUUGCCUCCCUUACACUUUUAUGCCCACACCAGCCCAUCGUGAACCCUUGAUUCCUUUUUUGUUUCUAUUUUAACAUGGCCUGCUGGUUACUUCUACCCUGAUAAAUCAGGAAAGGCCCCUGCCACCCUCUUCUUAAUUUCUGCACAUCUUCACUUUAUUGUAUCUUACAGUCCUUGGGGCGAGCACGUGACAUGUAUUCUGCAGACAGAUCCACCGGCGUCUCUGUGGGUAAAAGAAAAGGAGAGAAACAAACAAGGAGGCGAGGGCUUAGCUCCCCUCACAGUUAGCACAAGAUUACCUUCGAUGCAGUUUUUCAGCGGAGGAAUCACCCAGGGAUCAGUUCGGGCAGUGACUUGUAUAUCAGAGUUCAAUGGCAAAUUAAAAACUGCCGUGGGUACCUUAUGCAGAAAAGGAAUUUGACCAAGGAAUUAGGUGCUUACAAAAUUGUGUGAGGGGUGAGGAAGGCAGGCUUUAAGUAAGACCUUUAGGACUGAUUCUCAGGAUGACUGUAGAAGUGAUCCUGCAUACUUUUUGUUGUUCACCUAUCAGCUAUGUUUGUUUAUUUCUUUUUUCUUAAGAGGCUUUAUUGGAAGUGAACCUGUAUUCUUCCCAAAGCGGGC
ensembl:lncRNA